UAUAUGUGAUCUCACAUUUAUAUUCUAUACAGCUGUUACAUAAGUUUUUUGUCCUAUUGUUAGAAAUUGAUUUUUAGUCAUCUAAUAAUUUGAAGAACAAUAUUCUGAUAAUUCGGACAAAUACAUAUGUUCUCAUUUGCUUUCCGAAUAUAUAUAAGAGAAUCUAUAUAAAUGGAAUAUAGUAAAUAUAGAUAGUUUAUGAACUUUCGAACAGUAUUACACACGAUGGAAGAUAGGGCGCUUUUCAGGCUAAUAAUUGACUGUGGUAAAAGAAAGCUUGUCAAGAUUAUUAUAAUCAAAAUGCUUUAAUGUAAGGUUUUGCCGGUUUUAACGUGAUAUCCAGCUUAAAGGCAAUAUCUUCGAUUACUACAGGCCGAUCAAUUUUAAUAAUAAAUCUUCUUAAAAUAGUAGCAAUUAUCACCUUCAUUUCUAGCAUAGCAAAUGUUUGACCUAAAACAGUGAAAACAAUUGUAAAUCCAUACUGUUGGGUAACUUUUUGAAAUUUAAUUUCAAUAAUCUGGAAGAAUAUAGAAUUACCUAAGCAAUUUCUAGCUCCAAUACCGAAUGGUAAAAAACUCUGAGGAUGAACAUUACUGGAUAGAAACCUAUUUGGAUCAAACUUCAAUGGCUCGUUCCAAUAUUUUUUAUUUCGAUGAAGUUUGAAAAUCCAAACUAACAAGGAGCUUCCUUUUGGUAUAGUUAAAUUUUGUUCCACUUGAUACAAUUCAUGAAUAAAUAUUAGUAUUAAUUAAUAUUAAUAUUGUCAUUGAUAAAAAUAAAAAAAUACAAUGUUAUCAUUUUAUAUA